rnacentral:rRNA from 1 species
UACGAAGGGUGCAAGCGUUACUCGGAAUUAUUGGGCGUAAAGAGCUCGUAGGUGGCCUGUCGCGUCGGCUGUGAAAACUCGGGGCUCAACUCCGAGCUUGCAGUCGAUACGGGCAGGCUAGAGUUCGGCAGGGGAGACUGGAAUUCCUGGUGUAGCGGUGAAAUGCGCAGAUAUCAGGAGGAACACCGGUGGCGAAGGCGGGUCUCUGGGCCGAUACUGACACUGAGGAGCGAAAGCGUGGGGAGCGAACAGG